AGCAAAUUCAUCUAGAUUCCUUCAUAAUCUUGAGGAACAACCUUUAAACUUGGAAUAUAAGUCUGCAUUAGUCAUCAUCAUGGACUCAGAAGAAAGUUUCAGCAGAAGUUUGUCUUAGGAUUUUGCUAUAAUAGCAAAUUGACAGGAACACAUUAAGGACGGACGUCGAGUGCAUUUGAAUGAAAGAGACUUGACCAAGCUCGACAGAAUUGUUGGUGAGCCGCUACAGCCAGGGGGCUAUCUGAAACUGUUUUGAGUUGGGUCUUAAAGGUAACGAGAGCAUCUGUCGCUGAAAAUUUGUUUUUCAGCUCAAUAAUUCUCAAAACAUAGAUGGAUGUGUUUAUCUCUUUGUUCAAUUAAUGGAACCCUGCGUCUUGCUCUUGUCUUGCAAUAGCUCUUCGAUCUAAUUGGUAACUAAUUACAUGCAAUAAGGGUUGAAAGAAAGAAUUAGUCCUCUUUA